rnacentral:rRNA from 1 species
UACGUAGGGGGCUAGCGUUGUCCGGAAUCAUUGGGCGUAAAGAGCGUGUAGGCGGUCCGGUAAGUCCGCUGUGAAAGUCGGGGGCUCAACCCUCGAAAUGGCCGGUGGACUACUGUCGGGCUAGAGUACGGGAAGAGGCGAGUGGAAUUCCUGGUGGUAGCGGUGAAAUGCGCAGAUAUCAGGAGGAACACCUAUUGCGAAGGCAGCUCGCUGGGACGUAACUGACGCUGGAGGAGCGAAAGCGUGGGGAGCGAACAGG